rnacentral:rRNA from 1 species
UACUCCCGCCGGCGACCGGCGCACGUUUGAGUAACACGUAUGCAACCUGCCUGCCACAGCCGGAUAUCGGGAGAAAUUCCGUCUAAUACGGCAUAAUGCACCUAUGGGACAUCCUGUUGGUGCCAAAGGUUAAUUCCGGUGGCGGAUGGGCAUGCGUCGCAUUAGUUAGUUGGCGGUGUAACGGACCACCAAGACGACGAUGCGUAGGGGUUCUGAGAGGAAGGUCCCCCACACUGGUACUGAUACACGGACCAGACUCCUACGGGAGGCAGCAGUGAGGAAUAUUGGUCAAUGGGCGGGAGCCUGAACCAGCCAAGUCGCGUGAGGGAUGACGGCCCUAUGGGUUGUAAACCUCUUUUGCCGGGGAGCAAAGUGCCGCACGUGUGCGGUUUGGAGAGUACCCGGAGAAAAAGCAUCGGCUAACUCCGUGCCAGCAGCCGCGGUAAUACGGAGGAUGCGAGCGUUAUCCGGAUUUAUUGGGUUUAAAGGGUGCGUAGGCGGCCUGCCAAGUCACCGGUAAAAUUGCGGGGCUCAACCCCGUACA